rnacentral:rRNA from 1 species
CGGAGGAUCCAAGCGUUAUCCGGAAUCAUUGGGUUUAAAGGGUCCGUAGGCGGGUUUAUAAGUCAGUGGUGAAAGCCCAUCGCUCAACGAUGGAACGGCCAUUGAUACUGUAGAUCUUGAAUUAUUAGGAAGUAACUAGAAUAUGUAGUGUAGCGGUGAAAUGCUUAGAGAUUACAUGGAAUACCAAUUGCGAAGGCAGGUUACUACUAAUGGAUUGACGCUGAUGGACGAAAGCGUGGGUAGCGAACAGGAUUAGAUACCCUGGUAGUCCACGCCGUAAACGAUGGAUACUAGCUGUUCGGAGCAAUCUGAGUGGCUAAGCGAAAGCGAUAAGUAUCCCACCUGGGGAUACGUUCGCAAGAUG